GCAAACUUGGUCAUUAGAGGAAGUAAAAGUCGUAACAAGGUAACCGUAGGUGAACCUGCGGUUGGAUCAUUAAAAAAAAACAAUUUGUAAAAGGGAGGGAAAUCUUCCCAACCUUUUAUACAAACCAUGUGAAUUAUUAUAAUGUCUCUCGGUGGGUUAAAAAAAAAAAGUUUUUUUUAAAAAACCUUUUUUGAGUGCUUUAAUCACUCACCCACCGUGUAAAUAAACUACGUUUUUUGUUAUAUUUUUUGAGUGAACUUCACUUUAAACACAAAAAAAAAACAAACAACUUUUGACAACGGAUCUCUAGGCUCUCGCAUCGAUGAAGAACGCAGC
rnacentral:misc_RNA from 1 species